UACAGAGGGUGCAAGCGUUAAUCGGAAUUACUGGGCGUAAAGCGCGCGUAGGUGGUUCGUUAAGUUGGAUGUGAAAUCCCCGGGCUCAACCUGGGAACUGCAUUCAAAACUGUCGAGCUAGAGUAUGGUAGAGGGUGGUGGAAUUUCCUGUGUAGCGGUGAAAUGCGUAGAUAUAGGAAGGAACACCAGUGGCGAAGGCGACCACCUGGACUGAUACUGACACUGAGGUGCGAAAGCGUGGAGAGCAAACAGG
rnacentral:rRNA from 1 species